AAGUCGAACGGGGUUAUGCUAGAUGAAGUUCUCGGAUGGAAGCUUGUAAACUUAGUGGCGGACGGGUGAGUAACACGUGAGCAACCUGCCUAUCAGAGGGGGAUAACGAUUGGAAACGAUCGCUAAUACCGCAUGACAUAGCGGAACCGCAUGGUUUUGCUAUCAAAGAUUUUAUCGCUGAUAGAUGGGCUCGCGUCCGAUUAGAUAGUUGGUGGGGUAACGGCCUACCAAGUCGACGAUCGGUAGCCGGACUGAGAGGUCGAACGGCCACAUUGGGACUGAGACACGGCCCAGACUCCUACGGGAGGCAGCGGUGGGGGAUAUUGCACAAUGGGGGAAACCCUGAUGCAGCGACGCCGCGUGAGGGAAGACGGUCCUCUGGAUUGUAAACCUCUGUCUUCGGGGACGAAACGAGACGGUACCCGAGGAGGAAGCCACGGCUAACCACGUGCCAGCAGCCGCGGUAAUACGUAGGUGGCAAGCGUUGUCCGGAAUUACUGGGUGUAAAGGGAGCGUAGGCGGGCAGGCAAGUCAGGCGUGAAAUAUAUCGGCUCAACCGGUAACGGCGCUUGAAACUGCAGGUCUUGAGUGAAGUAGAGGUUGGCGGAAUUCCUAGUGUAGCGGUGAAAUGCGUAGAUAUUAGGAGGAACACCAGUGGCGAAGGCGGCCAACUGGGCUUUUACUGACGCUGAGGCUCGAAAGUGUGGGGAGCAAACAGGAUUAGAUACCCUGGUAGUCCACACCGUAAACGAUGAUUACUAGGUGUGGGGGGACUGACCCCUUCCGUGCCGGAGUUAACACAAUAAGUAAUCCACCUGGGGAGUACGGCCGCAAGGUUGCAACUCAAAUGAAUUGACGGA
rnacentral:rRNA from 1 species